rnacentral:rRNA from 1 species
UACGAAGGGGGCUAGCGUUGCUCGGAAUUACUGGGCGUAAAGCGCACGUAGGCGGCUCUUUAAGUCGGGGGUGAAAUCCUGGAGCUCAACUCCAGAACUGCCUUCGAUACUGAAGAGCUCGAGACCGGAAGAGGUAAGUGGAACUGCGAGUGUAGAGGUGAAAUUCGUAGAUAUUCGCAAGAACACCAGUGGCGAAGGCGGCUUACUGGUCCGGUUCUGACGCUGAGGCGCGAAAGCGUGGGGAGCAAACAGG